GAUGAACGCUGGCGGCGUGCCUAAUACAUGCAAGUCGAGCGAACAGACGAGUAGCUUGCUCCUCUGUCGGUAGCGGCGGACGGGUGAGUAACACGUGGAUAACCUACUUCUAAGUCUGGGAUAACAUCGGGAAACCGGAGCUACUACCGGGUAAUAUAUUGAACCGCAUGGUUCAAUAGUGAAAGACGGUUUUGCUGUCGCUUAUAGAUGGAUCCGCGCCGCAUUAGCUAGUUGGUAGGGUAACGGCUUACCAAGGCGGCGAUGCGGAGCCGGCCGGAGAGGGGGGUGGGCCGCACCAGAGCUGGGGAGAGGCGCAGGAUACUACUGGGGGGAGCAGCAGGGGAGAUUACGGCACUGGGGGAAAGAUGGUGGAGCAACGGCGCCGCGGGGGAGAAGGGGUUCUGGGGGUUAAGAACCUCUUUUGGGGGAGAAGCAAGGGUGCAUCGAUUGUGGAUGGCUUGACGGUAACUGAAUAAGAAGCCCCGGCUAACUACGUG
rnacentral:rRNA from 1 species